rnacentral:rRNA from 1 species
UACAGAGGUCUCAAGCGUUGUUCGGAUUCAUUGGGCGUAAAGGGUGCGUAGGCGGCGUGGUAAGUCGGAUGUGAAAUCUCGGAGCUUAACUCCGAAACUGCAUUCGAUACUGCCGUGCUUGAGGACUGGAGAGGAGACUGGAAUUUACGGUGUAGCAGUGAAAUGCGUAGAUAUCGUAAGGAAGACCAGUGGCGAAGGCGAGUCUCUGGACAGUUGCUGACACUGAGGCACGAAGGCCAGGGGAGCAAACGGG